rnacentral:snoRNA from 1 species
GUGCAUAUAUCUAUUGGGAUCAUUUUUAUAGUAUGUUACUAGAGAAGUGAGAAUGAGAGUGUGAAGAGCCAGAAAACCACGAGGAGGAGUUUGAGCAUUCUCUCCUGAGCAUGAAGCUGGCUUAGAGGAGCAGCGUGGCUCAGUGGA